GUAGGUGGCAAGCGUUGUCCGGAAUUAUUGGGGCGUAAAGCGCGCGCAGGCGGGUUCUUUAAGUCUGAUGUGAAAGCCCACGGGCUCAACCGUGGAGGGUCAUUGGAAACUGGAGAACUUGAGUACAGAAGAGGAAAGCGGAAUUCCACGUGUAGCGGUGAAAUGCGUAGAGAUGUGGAGGAACACCAGUGGCGAAGGCGGCUUUCUGGUCUGUAACUGACGCUGAGGCGCGAAAGCGUGGGGAGCAAACAGGAUUAGAUACCCUGGUAGUCCACGCCGUAAACGAUGAGUGCUAAGUGUUAGGGGGGUUUCCGCCCCUUAGUGCUGCAGCUAACGCAUUAAGCACUCCGCCUGGGGAGUACGGCCGCAAGGCUG
rnacentral:rRNA from 1 species